GACGAACGCUGGCGGCGUGCUUAACACAUGCAAGUCGAGCGGAAAGGCCCUUCGGGGUACUCGAGCGGCGAACGGGUGGGUAACACGUGAGUAACCUGCCCCAGACUUUGGGAUAACCCUCGGAAACGGGGGCUAAUACCGGAUACGACACAGCUUCGCAUGGGGUCUGUGUGGAAAGUUUUUCGGUUUGGGAUGGGCUCGCGGCCUAUCAGCUUGUUGGUGGGGUGAUGGCCUACCAAGGCGACGACGGGUAGCCGGCCUGAGAGGGCGACCGGCCACACUGGGACUGAGACACGGCCCAGACUCCUACGGGAGGCAGCAGUGGGGAAUAUUGCACAAUGGGCGGAAGCCUGAUGCAGCGACGCCGCGUGAGGGAUGACGGCCUUCGGGUUGUAAACCUCUUUCAGCAGGGACGAAGCGUAAGUGACGGUACCUGCAGAAGAAGCGCCGGCCAACUACGUG
rnacentral:rRNA from 1 species